GCAGAAGCAGCUUGAUGCUCUUUCAUUUCUUAGUAAAAGGAAGGCACCUAAGUCAAAGACAUCAGACAAACCAUCCAUUGCUUCUGAUACCCUCAACAACUAUGAUACGAUGUUAGCUUCUGAGAUGCAAGAAUCUUCAGAGAUGCCAUCCGUAAAGGAUUCUCAGUCUGUGAAGAUAAGUCGACGAGCUGCCCCUGUGUCUCGCAGAGCAAAAGUAAGAGGUGUUUCCUUGCAAGAUACUGGGGAUAUCGAUGACCACUAAUGCAUAACAGUUCCAG